CAGAAACUGAAAUGAGACGAAGAACCCCGCGUAGGAAAUUCGUCUGCCUCUUACCUUCAACCCUGCCAUCUCCACUCUGGUCCCUAACUUGAAAACUUCUGGUAUUUACAAUAAAAAACAAAACAAGAAUACAAAAGAAACAGACAGGACUUCUCUUGGAACAGGUGAGAAGAGGUACCACAAUGGUCAUCCAGCUGAUCGCCAUGGUGAUGUGAGUCCGCCGUUGCUCGGCGAUGAUAUCGAUGGAGCGG